rnacentral:rRNA from 1 species
UGGGGAAUAUUGCACAAUGGGCGCAAGCCUGAUGCAGCCAUGCCGCGUGUGUGAAGAAGGCCUUCGGGUUGUAAAGCACUUUCAGCGAGGAGGAAGGUGGUGAACUUAAUACGUUCAUCAAUUGACGUUACUCGCAGAAGAAGCACCGGCUAACUCCGUGCCAGCAGCCGCGGUAAUACGGAGGGUGCAAGCGUUAAUCGGAAUUACUGGGCGUAAAGCGCACGCAGGCGGUUUGUUAAGUCAGAUGUGAAAUCCCCGGGCUCAACCUGGGAACUGCAUUUGAAACUGGCAAGCUAGAGUCUCGUAGAGGGGGGUAGAAUUCCAGGUGUAGCGGUGAAAUGCGUAGAGAUCUGGAGGAAUACCGGUGGCGAAGGCGGCCCCCUGGACGAAGACUGACGCUCAGGUGCGAAAGCGUGGGGAGCAAACAGAUUAGAUACCCUGGUAGUCCACGCUGUAAACGAUGUCGAUUUUGGAGGUUGUGCCC